rnacentral:rRNA from 1 species
UACGUAGGUGGCAAGCGUUGUCCGGAAUUACUGGGUGUAAAGGGAGUGUAGGCGGGAUGUUAAGUUGAAUGUGAAAUCUAUCGGCUCAACCGAUAAGCUGCGUUCAAAACUGGCAUUCUUGAGUGAAGUAGAGGCAAGCAGAAUUCCUAGUGUAGCGGUGAAAUGCGUAGAUAUUAGGAGGAAUACCAGUGGCGAAGGCGGCUUGCUGGGCUUUUACUGACGCUGAGGCUCGAAAGCGUGGGGAGCAAACAGG